AAGGAUCUAUCUCCCCGUAGGAUUCGUGGAAGAUCAAUUCUUCUGCCUAGGAUCUAUCUCCCGUAGCUCUUCGUCGUCGCCACUCGACGUAUUAACGACUCGUGAAUACUCUCCUCAUGUGUCAUGUCCCCUAAAUAAUUUUCUAUAAUUUUGAUUAGGUGUUGGAAAGUAUAUUUUCGAGUGGAAAUGUAUCUCCCUUUUCAAAUCACCUUCGCUAUUAAUUAACCACAUUUUGUGAAUUUGCAGACUGUUCUGGGAUUUGGUCAA